CGCGAAAUUUGGAUAUUCUUUACAACAGAGCCUUCAGAGGGUUUUCACAUAGCACAUGCGCAGAACAGUCUUGACUCCGUCUUUUUAAAGACGUGCAUAAAAAAAUUUGCAUUAAAUAAAAAGUAAAUUUGCCAAAUGACUAGCAAGUUCAGAAACAUCAAGGGUUAUGGUCAGUUAGGGUCCCUAGGAAAUUUCUGGCUUUAUUUCGCAAGUUCUGUAAGCCUGCAACUCAGUGAGAGCUCAAUGAGUUACAUUAUAUUGCAUGCAUUAUAAAAUAUUUCCAGAUUUGCUAUAAUUAACAACUUUAAAUGUUGAUUAAAUUUCGUUUAUUUUAAAAUCUUCUUUUUACAAAACUAGUCUAUCCAAAUGCAUCAGCUUUUCACCAUAAUUUUAAAGAUUCCUUUUGUUGUGAGCAUCUGUACAUGUAGUCUAGAAAACAAAUAAAAUAAAAACAGUAAUGGAUCCCUCGUUCAUACUGAGUAACAGAGUCGGAUUUGUGCUAUAAGCAGAAUUUGUCUGAUUAAUUAUCGCAUCUCAGAGUUCUUCCAGUUUGAUAAUACUCACAGUAAAGCAUAUUAAGCAGUCGCAGACAUGUGCCGCAUUGUUAUGUGAACAAUGACAAUGUGAACUGAACACAAACGCA